CCUUCGAUAGCUCAGUUGGUAGAGCGGUGGACUGUAGUUGGAAAAUUAUGCAAUAGAAAUCCAUAGGUCGCUGGUUCAAAUCCGGCUCGAAGGA
rnacentral:tRNA from 1 species